AACACGUGAGUAACCUGCCCUUGACUCUGGGAUAAGCCUGGGAAACUGGGUCUAAUACCGGAUACGACCAUCUGGCGCAUGUCAUGGUGGUGGAAAGCUUUUGUGGUUUUGGAUGGACUCGCGGCCUAUCAGCUUGUUGGUGGGGUAAUGGCCUACCAAGGCGACGACGGGUAGCCGGCCUGAGAGGGUGACCGGCCACACUGGGACUGAGACACGGCCCAGACUCCUACGGGAGGCAGCAGUGGGGAAUAUUGCACAAUGGGCGCAAGCCUGAUGCAGCGACGCCGCGUGAGGGAUGACGGCCUUCGGGUUGUAAACCUCUUUCAGUAGGGAAGAAGCGAAAGUGACGGUACCUGCAGAAGAAGCGCCGGCUAACUACGUGCCAGCAGCCGCGGUAAUACGUAGGGCGCAAGCGUUAUCCGGAAUUAUUGGGCGUAAAGAGCUCGUAGGCGGUUUGUCGCGUCUGCUGUGAAAGACCGGGGCUCAACUCCGGUUCUGCAGUGGGUACGGGCAGACUAGAGUGCAGUAGGGGAGACUGGAAUUCCUGGUGUAGCGGUGAAAUGCGCAGAUAUCAGGAGGAACACCGAUGGCGAAGGCAGGUCUCUGGGCUGUAACUGACGCUGAGGAGCGAAAGCAUGGGGAGCGAACAGGAUUAGAUACCCUGGUAGUCCAUGCCGUAAACGUUGGGCACUAGGUGUGGGGGACAUUCCACGUUUUCCGCGCCGUAGCUAACGCAUUAAGUGCCCCGCCUGGGGAGUACGGCCGCAAGGCUAAAACUCAAAGGAAUUGACGGGGGCCCGCACAAGCGGCGGAGCAUGCGGAUUAAUUCGAUGCAACGCGAAGAACCUUACCAAGGCUUGACAUGAACCGGAAAGACCUGGAAACAGGUGCCCCGCUUGCGGUCGGUUUACAGGUGGUGCAUGGUUGUCGUCAGCUCGUGUCGUGAGAUGUUGGGUUAAGUCCCGCAACGAGCGCAACCCUCGUUCUAUGUUGCCAGCGCGUUAUGGCGGGGACUCAUAGGAGACUGCCGGGGUCAACUCGGAGGAAGGUGGGGACGACGUCAAAUCAUCAUGCCCCUUAUGUCUUGGGCUUCACGCAUGCUACAAUGGCCGGUACAAAGGGUUGCGAUACUGUGAGGUGGAGCUAAUCCCAAAAAGCCGGUCUCAGUUCGGAUUGGGGUCUGCAACUCGACCCCAUGAAGUCGGAGUCGCUAGUAAUCGCAGAUCAGCAACGCUGCGGUGAA
rnacentral:rRNA from 1 species